rnacentral:lncRNA from 1 species
GUCAAUUUUUCCGAACAUGCCCAUUUGACCUGUUUAAGUCAAUUUGUCUGAACAUGAUUUGACCUGUUCAAGUCAGAUUGCAGAACAAAUUUUCCAAUCAAAGCUAGGUGUACUUCCUUUAAGCCCUGCUUCUGAAUCUGCCAUUUGUGAAUUUAUUUGAUAAAUGUUUAGAAACAAUUAAGUCAAAUGGUUAUUUAUUUUAGGGG